UACGGAGGGUGCAAGCGUUAUCCGGAUUCACUGGGCGUAAAGCGCGCGUAGGCGGCUUUGUAAGUCAGAGGUGAAAUCCCGGAGCUCAACUCCGGAACUGCCUUUGAAACUGCAUCGCUUGAAUCCGGGAGAGGUGAGUGGAAUUCCGAGUGUAGAGGUGAAAUUCGUAGAUAUUCGGAAGAACACCAGUGGCGAAGGCGGCUCACUGGACCGGUAUUGACGCUGAGGUGCGAAAGCGUGGGGAGCAAACAGG
rnacentral:rRNA from 1 species